rnacentral:misc_RNA from 1 species
GAUGAAGAACGUAGCGAAAUGCGAUAAGUAGUGUGAAUUGCAGAAUUCAGUGAAUCAUCGAAUCUUUGAACGCACAUUGCGCCUUCUAGUAUUCUGGGAGGCAUGCCUGUUUGAGCGUCAUUAAACCUCUCUCAAGUAUGAUUACUUGGAUGUGAAGGAAGAGUACCUUAAACUUAAGGAGUGUUCUCCUUUGAAAUUGAUUAGCAGAUGGUAAUGUUAUUAAAUCCCUGAUGUUGUAAGAAAUAACAGUGGUUUUGUAGACUAUUAUCUAGCUUUAAAUUAUAAUUUUUAUUAUGGUUGACCUCAAAUCAGGUAAGGAUACCCGCUGAACUUAAGCAUAUCAUAAGCGGAGGA